UACGGAGGAUGCGAGCGUUAUCCGGAUUUAUUGGGUUUAAAGGGUGCGUAGGCGGGAUGCCAAGUCAGCGGUCAAAUACGGGGGCUCAACCUGCGUCCGCCGUUGAAACUGGCGUUCUUGGGUGGGCGAGAAGUACGCGGAAUGCGUGGUGUAGCGGUGAAAUGCGUAGAUAUCACGCAGAACCCCGAUUGCGAAGGCAGCGUACCGGCGCCCGACUGACGCUGAAGCACGAAAGCGUGGGUAUCGAACAGG
rnacentral:rRNA from 1 species